rnacentral:rRNA from 1 species
UAGGGAAUUUUCGUCAAUGGGGGCAACCCUGAACGAGCAAUGCCGCGUGAGCGAAGAAGGUCUUCGGAUUGUAAAGCUCUGUUGCCGGGGAAAAAGGAAGG